rnacentral:rRNA from 1 species
GAUGAACGCUGGCGGCGUGCCUAAUGCAUGCAAGUCGAGCGAACGGACGAGAAGCUUGCUUUUCUGAUGUUAGCGGCGGACGGGUGAGUAACACGUGGAUAACCUACCUAUAAGACUGGGAUAACUUCGGGAAACCGGAGCUAAUACCGGAUAAUAUUUUGAACCGCAUGGUUCAAAAGUGAAAGACGGUCUUGCUGUCACUUAUAGAUGGAUCCGCGCUGCAUUAGCUAGUUGGUAAGGUAACGGCUUACCAAGGCAACGAUGCAUAGCCGACCUGAGAGGGUGAUCGGCCACACUGGAACUGAGACACGGUCCAGACUCCUACGGGAGGCAGCAGUAGGGAAUCUUCCGCAAUGGGCGAAAGCCUGACGGAGCAACGCCGCGUGAGUGAUGAAGGUCUUCGGAUCGUAAAACUCUGUAUUAGGGAAGAACAUAUGUGUAAGUAACUGUGCACAUCUUGACGGUACCUAAUCAGAAAGCCACGGCUAACUACGUG